UUUCUCGGGACCCAACAAAUAAUUGUAAACCAAAAACGUAUUUAAAAUAGAGAAUUUGUACUCACUACACACAAAAUCUAUCCUAUUUGCACUCCAUACUUUAAUUUUCCCCCAAUUUUUUUCCCUCAUCAUUAACAUUUCCCCCCCCCAUUGUAUGGUAUCCCACUUUUUUUGUAUAUUGAGCUAAUUUGCUCUUUAAAAUAAAUCAAAGCUUCUUCUUCCAUUGUCUGCUUCUUCUCCACCGAAGCUCGUGCAUGCCGCCACGGCCUUUAACCGUCGUGUCGAGACAGACUUCGUCGUUCAAGCUUCCUCGUCUUCAUCGGCUUCUCCGAUUUGUGGCUGAGCUUGUGCUAUGAUCUUCGUCGGCGGUUCCACCUGAUUUAACUCGGCGUCUCUCCGUCGCGGCUCUGCUCCGAUCACGGUCAUGUCUCCACGUCGACAAUUGUCUCCACCAUAGGUAGCCUCCUUUUUCGAUUCAGCUCUCAUAUCCAAGUCGUCUCCUCCUCGCCGUGCAUGGCUCCUCUCCCGGCGUCGUGACCUCCGGUGUACUGUAGAUAGAUGCCUUCCGAGUUCGAGAUCGCCAUUGUUAAAUCUUGAGAUCAAGUUUUGUUAAUUUUCAGUUUUCGUCCUUGUAGUUUCAAUUGUUUUCACUUUCACCUCAAAACUUGUAUAAUUGAAUUUAAGUCCUUUUGAUUUAACCCCAAACUAUUUAAUUUUACAGAAUAAAACAUUUCCAUAUUGGCACAAACAAUCCUUGAACUAAUGGUUUUUAUCAAUCUCACCCUUAACUUUGAAAUUUGCAGAGAUAACCUGUUAAUAAAGCC
rnacentral:lncRNA from 1 species